rnacentral:rRNA from 1 species
CCCUUAGAUGUUCUGGGCCGCACGCGCGCUACACUGAUGCAUUCAACGAGUCUAAAACCUGCUCUGAUAGGGGUGGGUAAUCUUUUGAAUGUGCAUCGUGAUUGGGAUAGAUGAUUGCAAUUUUUCAUCUUCAACGAGGAAUGCCUAGUAAACGCAAGUCAUCAGCUUGCAUUGAUUACGUCCCUGCCCGUUGUACACACCGCCCGUCGCUCCUACCGAUUGAAUGAUCCGAUGAAUAUCAUGGAUUGAGGAUGCAAGUAGGUUCGCCUAUCUUCAUCUUCGAGAAGUGAAGUAAAUCUUAUCAUUUAGAGGAAGGAGAAGUCGUAACA